rnacentral:rRNA from 1 species
AGCGAACGCUGGCGGCAUGCCUAACACAUGCAAGUCUGACGGGCCUGGGGCUUGCUCCAGGUCAGUGGCGGACGGGUGAGGAACGCGUAGGAACGUAUCCAAGGGGUGGGGGAUAACCGCGGGAAACUGCGGCUAAUACCGCAUGGGGCCUAAGGGCCAAAGGCUGAGGGAAACCUUGGUCGCCGAUGGAGCGGCCUGCGUCCGAUUAGCUCGUUGGUGGGGUGACGGCUUACCGAAGGCACGAUCGGUAGCUGGUCUGAGAGGAUGAUCAGCCACACUGGGACUGAGACACGGCCCAGACU